rnacentral:misc_RNA from 1 species
UGCAGCUUGGAGGGCCAAACAGUCCUGCAACAUACAGGUUUUGCCCUCUAAGUCCUCUUCCAUAAGCAUAUCACUUAUGUACUUAAGAACAACAUUAUUAUUUGGAUCAUGUCCUUCUGAGCUCAAGGAUGAAGGAGAAGAUGAUGUCAAGUCAUUAGGAGGUUGUGGAUCAAAUGAAGGAACGGGGGAAUAAGGAUUACUCAAGUUAUUAUUGAGCUCAUAUCCAUUAAGAAGAUUUCUAUUUGGAGAGAAAGAAACGGGGUAAUGGUCGAAAUUGAAUCUAUUCAUGGAAUUAGGAAAUUCUUGAAGAAGGGUAUCCAUCAAGAACAACAACACUUCCUUCGGGUUCCCAAGCAGGAAAAGCAAUUAUAACAAGAUAAGAAAUCUAUGGCUCAGGUCAAUUUCCCAGAUAAAUUUAAAAUAAAUAAAUUUUAAAAAAGAAAUUAUUAGUCUUGACCUAUGUUAUAACAUUCGAGUAGAUCUCAGUUGAGUAAAUGUGCAAGAAAC